rnacentral:rRNA from 2 species
CUGGUGUCAGCCGCCGCGGUAAUACCAGCACCCCGAGUGGUCGGGACGAUUAUUGGGCCUAAAGCAUCCGUAGCCGAUUCUGCAAGUCCCCCGUUAAAUCCAGCUGCUCAACAGAUGGGCCGCGGAGGAUACUACAGAGCUAGGAGGCAGGAGAGGCAAGCGGUACUCAGUGGGUAGGGGUAAAAUCCGUUGAUCCAUUGAAGACCACCAGUGGCGAAGGCGGCUUGCCAGAAUGCGCUCGACGGUGAGGGAUGAAAGCUGGGGGAGCAAACCGGAUUAGAUACCCGGGUAGUCCCAGCCGUAAACGAUGCAGACUCGGUGAUGGGUUGGCUUCGCGCUAACCCAGUGCCGCAGGGAAGCCGUUAAGUCUGCCGCCUGGGUAGUACGGUCGCAAGACUGAAACUUAAAG